UGGGGAAUUUUGGACAAUGGGCGAAAGCCUGAUCCAGCAAUGCCGCGUGUGUGAAGAAGGCCUUCGGGUUGUAAAGCACUUUUGUCCGGAAAGAAAUCCUUGGCUCUAAUACAGUCGGGGGAUGACGGUACCGGAAGAAUAAGCACCGGCUAACUACGUGCCAGCAGCCGCGGUAAUACGUAGGGUGCAAGCGUUAAUCGGAAUUACUGGGCGUAAAGCGUGCGCAGGCGGUUUGCUAAGACCGAUGUGAAAUCCCCGGGCUCAACCUGGGAACUGCAUUGGUGACUGGCAGGCUAGAGUAUGGCAGAGGGGGGUAGAAUUCCACGUGUAGCAGUGAAAUGCGUAGAGAUGUGGAGGAAUACCGAUGGCGAAGGCAGCCCCCUGGGCCAAUACUGACGCUCAUGCACGAAAGCGUGGGGGAGCAAACAGGAUUAGAUACCCCUGGAUACGUCCAGCCGCCUAAAACGAUGUCAACUAGUUGUUGGGGGAUUCAUUUCCUUAGUAACGUAGCUAACGCGUGAAGUUGACCGCCUGGGGAGUACGGUCGCAAGAUUAAAACUCAAAUGAAUUGACGGGGUCAUAGCUGUUUCCU
rnacentral:rRNA from 1 species